rnacentral:lncRNA from 1 species
CUGAAUUCCUGCUCCCAAACAAUGUGUGCUUUGAUGGAUUUCUGCGAGAAGAAGAAGGAAACACGUUGAAGUCCUUGUCCUGGAAGGCCUGAGUCUGGAAAACUGUCUCAGCAAAGCAAGAGCCAGUGGUGAGAUCACUUGGCAUUUUCCUAGUUCUCCUCACCGAUGUCAGAGUGAAUGCAGAAGGGACACACUGCGAAGAGCAGGAAUUCUUCCGUCAUGAUCCACAGUCUCUGUUGGGUUGCAGUAGUCACCGCGAUGCUCAUAAACUGAGAAAAAAUAUAUAUAUGUCUUUUUCACUUUAUUGGCAAAUAUUACAUAAGUAUAUAAAUUUCACUUUUUACAGCUAAAGGCUGCAUAGCCAUAACUUCUGAGCAAUUUAUUAAGGUUGAAUAAAAUUGAUAUAAGGAAUCAUUUUAUAAAAUAAA